rnacentral:rRNA from 1 species
AUUGAACGCUGGCGGCAGGCCUAACACAUGCAAGUCGAACGAGUGGCGGACGGGUGAGUAAUGUCUGGGAAACUUCCUGCUGGAUGGCGAUAACUACUGGACACUGUAGCUAAUACCGCAUACCAUCGGAUGUGCCCAGAUGGGAUUAGCUAGUGGGGGGGGUAAAGGCUAACCUAGGCGACGAUCCCUAGCUGGUCUGAGAGGAUGACCAGCAACACUGGAACUGAGACACGGGCCAGACUCCUACGGGGGGCAGCAGUGGGGAAGAUUGCACAAUGGGCGAAAGCCUGAUGCAGCCAUGCCGCGUGUAUGAAGAAGGCCUUCGGGUUGUAAAGUACUUUAAGCGGGGAGGCGUUACCCGCAGAAGAAGCACCGGCUAACUCCGUGCCAGCAGCCGCGGUAAUAC